UACGUAGGUGGCAAGCGUUGUCCGGAAUUAUUGGGCGUAAAGCGCGCGCAGGCGGUCCUUUAAGUCUGAUGUGAAAGCCCACGGCUCAACCGUGGAGGGUCAUUGGAAACUGGGGGACUUGAGUGCAGAAGAGGAAAGCGGAAUUCCACGUGUAGCGGUGAAAUGCGUAGAGAUGUGGAGGAACACCAGUGGCGAAGGCGGCUUUCUGGUCUGUAACUGACGCUGAGGUGCGAAAGCGUGGGGAGCAAACAGG
rnacentral:rRNA from 1 species